rnacentral:rRNA from 1 species
AUUGAACGCUGGCGGCAGGCCUAACACAUGCAAGUCGCACGAGUGGCGGACGGGUGAGUAAUGUCUGGGAAACUGCCCGAUGGAGGGGGAUAACUACUGGAAACGGUAGCUAAUACCGCAUACCAUCGGAUGUGCCCAGAUGGGAUUAGCUAGGAGGUGGGGUAACGGCUCACCAAGGCGACGAUCCCGAGCUGGUCUGAGAGGAGGACCAGCCACACUUGAACUGUGACACGGUCCAGACUCCUACGGGAGGCAGCAGUGGGGAAUAUUGCACGAUGGGCGGAAGCCUGAUGCAGCCAUGCCGCGUGUAUGAAGAAGGCCUUCGGGUUGUAAAGUACGUUCAGCGGGGAGGCGUUGCUCGCAGAAGAAGCAGCGGCUAACUCCGUGCCAGCAGCCGCGGUAAUAC